GCCUUCAUGGUGUAGUGGUCAGCACACUCGACGUGUAACCGAGAGGUCCGUGGUUCGAUUCCUGGCGAAGGCG
rnacentral:tRNA from 1 species